rnacentral:rRNA from 1 species
GGCGGAGCAAAACACAAAACACAGUCUCAGUUCAGAUUGUAGGCUGAAAUCGCCUAUAUGAAGUCGGAAUUGCUAGUAAUCGCGGAUCAGCAUGCCGCGGUGAAUACGUUCCCGGGCCUUGUACACACCGCCCGUCACACCAUGAGAGUCGAUAACACCCGAAGCCUGUAGUCUAACAGCAAUGAGGACGCAGUCGAAGGUGGGAUUGAUAAUUAGGGUGAAGUCGUAACAAGGUAGC